rnacentral:rRNA from 1 species
UACGAACUGUGCAAACGUUAUUCGGAAUCACUGGGCUUAAAGGGUGCGUAGGCGGUCAUCUAAGUAGGGUGUGAAAGCCCUCGGCUUAACCGAGGAAUUGCGCCCUAAACUGGAUGGCUGGAGUGAGAUAGGGGUGUGCGGAACUUCCGGUGGAGCGGUGAAAUGUGUUGAUAUCGGAAGGAACGCCGGUGGUGAAAGCGGCACACUGGGUCUCAACUGACGCUGAGGCACGAAAGCCAGGGGAGCAAACAGG